rnacentral:rRNA from 1 species
CCUACGGGCGGCAGCAGUCGAGAAUCAUUCACAAUGGGGGAAACCCUGAUGGUGCGACGCCGCGUGGGGGAAUGAAGGUCUUCGGAUUGUAAACCCCUGUCAUGUGGGAGCAAAUUAAAAAGAUAGUACCACAAGAGGAAGAGACGGCUAACUCUGUGCCAGCAGCCGCGGUAAUACAGAGGUCUCAAGCGUUGUUCGGAAUCACUGGGCGUAAAGGGUGCGUAGGCUGUUUCGUAAGUCGUUGGUGAAAGGCGCGGGCUCAACCCGCGGACGGCACAUGAUACUGCGAGACUAGAGUAAUGGAGGGGGAACCGGAAUUCUCGGUGUAGCAGUGAAAUGCGUAGAUAUCGAGAGGAACACUCGUGGCGAAGGCGGGUUCCUGGACAUUAACUGACGCUGAGGCACGAAGGCCAGGGGAGCGAAAGGGAUUAGAUACCCCGGUAGUC